rnacentral:lncRNA from 1 species
AGAAGUCCCCAGCUCCCACAUAAGAGAGCGCAAAGGCCAAUGGAACCAAGGCCUCCUCGCGAGAACUAGCUCGCUUUGAGGACAAGAUCCUGGGGAUGGAGGUGGGGACUGACGUAGUGAGAGGGUCUGGAGGAACAGUCGUAGCUGAAGGUCAGGACAUGAAGAAUUGCACGUAUGGUAGGGAUAGAAUGGCAGGUACAACUUUUCUGUACUGAAGGAACUGGGAGAGGACGAUCCGGUUAGGGAGGUUGGGGAACUAAUCUCAACGCUGCGUUUACAGAUGAAGCCGCUUUUAUAUGGCGUAUAUGUUUGCUUAGAGGGGCCGACGGAGAUUAGGAGAAGCCAUCCUUUGGCGCCAAUGAUCAAAGCGUCUGCCAAGGAGAAGAAGCCAAGGGAUGGGCCUUUCAGAGAGGGCAAGGAGUCAUGCUGCUCUGGAUGCCAGUGUCAGGACAAGAAAUCGAAAGGAGCGAGGACUCUUCACUGCGUGCCUCAGUCUCCCCGCUUCUGCCUCUUUCACCUCUGUCCUACUUCCGGCGCGAAAGCAGGCCACUCGCUCUGAUCUAGACCUAGUUAACAUUAGCUUUUCCCUUCCUUCCCUCAAAUCCCCUCCCCCCUCUAUCCCCGUCCCUUCUGCCGCC